rnacentral:rRNA from 1 species
GAUGAACGCUGGCGGUCUGCUUAACACAUGCAAGUCGAACGAAACUCUUCGGAGUGAGUGGGCGGACGGGUGAGUAACGCGUGAGAAUCUGCCUGUGGUCGGGGACAACCACUGGAAACGGUGGGCUAAUACCGGAUGAGCCGAAAGGUAAAAAGAUUUAUUGCCCACAGAUGAAGCGUCGCGUCUGAUUAGCUAGUUGUAAGUAAAAGCGUACCAAGGCGACGAUCAGUAGCUGGUCUGAGAGGAAUGAGCAGCCACACUGGGACUGAGACACGGCCCAGACUCCUACGGGAGGCAGCAGUGGGAAUUUUCCGCAAUGGCGAAAGCCUGACGAGCAAGACCGCGUGGGGAGAAGGUUUUUGGAUCGUAAACCCUUUGUCAAGGAAGAAGC